UACGUAGGGGGCAAGCGUUGUCCGGAAUCAUUGGGCGUAAAGAGCGUGUAGGCGGCUUGGUAGGUCCGCUGUGAAAACUCGGGGCUCAACCCCGAGAGGUCGGUGGAAACCAUCUGGCUAGAGUCCGGAAGAGGAGAGUGGAAUUCCUGGUGUAGCGGUGAAAUGCGCAGAUAUCAGGAAGAACACCCGUGGCGAAGGCGGCUCUCUGGUACGUGACUGACGCUGAGACGCGAAAGCGUGGGGAGCGAACAGG
rnacentral:rRNA from 1 species